rnacentral:rRNA from 1 species
AUUGAACGCUGGCGGCAUGCUUUACACAUGCAAGUCGAACGGUAACAGGCCGCAAGGUGCUGACGAGUGGCGAACGGGUGAGUAAUGCAUCGGAACGUGCCCAGUCGUGGGGGAUAACUACUUGCAAGGGUAGCUAAUACCGCAUACGAUCUAUGGUUGAAAGCGGGGGACCGUAAGGCCUCGCGCCAUUGGUGCGGCCGAUGUCAGAUGAGGUAGUUGGUGGGGUAAAGGCUCACCAAGCCAACGCUUUGUAGCUGGUCUGAGAGGAUGACCAGCCACACUGGAACUGAGACACGGCCCAGACUCCUACGGGAGGCAGCAGUGGGGAAUUUUGGACAAUGGGCGCAAGCCUGAUCCAGCAAUGCCGCGUGCAGGAAGAAGGCCUUCGGGUUGUAAACUGCUUUUGUAAGGAACGAAACGGCUCUGGUUAAUACCCGGGGCUAAUGACGGUACCGUAAGAAUAAGCACCGGCUAACUACGUG